rnacentral:rRNA from 1 species
GGCCCAACCCUUGUGGAGGGAGCCGUCGAAGGCGGGAUCGGCGAUUGGGACGAAGUCGUAACAAGGUAGCCGUACCGGAAGGUGCGGCUGGAUCACCUCCUUUCUAAGGAG